GUGCAAUGGCGUUACUGGAAAGGUUACCUCUAACACGUCGUUUGGUCAAAGCGUCAGUUGCUAUGGAAACCGAAGCGCUGGUGAAUGGCAGAAAGGUUUCUCCCACGAAUCACGUCGCUAAUUAUCAAUCGACUAACGGUAAUGCUUCGAAAUCGGAAAUGUCACAAAAUGCCAGCGAAAACAAGGAAGAUAAUCAAACGUAUUCCGUAGAAACGUCAGAAGAAGGAUUGACCACUCUCGGUGAUUUAUCCGAAACUCGCAGCCAGAAGAUGAAUUACUUUUUAAAGGACAAUAAUAAUUAUUUAUUUCUGUAAGUUACUCAACCUCGACCCGUAAAUGUCUUAUUAAGUACAAUACAAGCGGCGUAAUAACAUGUAAAAAAAUGUACACGCUACUAAGAUUAUCGUUAUAUAAUAUAUGCCGGCCAAGACGAUUACGGGAGUUAUCAUUAAGACCCUUAUGACGUUAUUCCUUUGAAAAAUAUACGAGAAUUAAUAGAAUAUAAAUCGACCUAACAACAUCUGCACUCUAUGACAAAAGAUGGUAUUAUUAAAUACACGCAACAAACAGCAUGAAAUUCUUAAAUUCUGACGUCACGCAACUUGUACUGUACUUUCUAUUUAAUGUAUUAAAACAUUUCUUUCUUUGCAUAAAUUAAUACUUAGGCUUAUUCUAAGAUUUAUCGAUGUAAAGGGCAUUAAUAAUUAAUGAAAUGUUAACAAUAAUAUUAUUAAUUAAUGUAGUGAAUACGUGAGAAAAAGUCGCUAUAAUAAUCUACACCAUUUUGAAUCUUUUUGACAGUUUAUUUUGCUUCAAAUUAUAUAAAAUUUUGAUGCCAUGUACUGUCAUUCUAUACAUAAAAAUUCAAUUUUUCCUCCUCUUGAUAUAAUAUUUUUCUUUGUUGGCUGUGCAUUGACCAAUAACAUUGUUAAAAGCCUGUUGAGUGUCCCGCUUUUUACUUCGGCACGGAAACAAUUUCAAUAGAAUGCUUUCAAUUCGGCGAUUGUUUUCUG